AUGGCGAGGCGGAGGCGGAGCGGGAGGGAGCGGAGGAGGGCGAGGCGGGAGGGCGGGUGCUGGGUGCGGAGGUGGAGCUGGCCGAGGUUGGAGGAGGAGGGUUGGUGGUGGUGGCAGACAGAGGGGGAGGAGGGCAGCAUUAGGGAGGGGGAGGCCAUGGCUGGCGGCGGGGCGAGGGGAGGUGGAGCUGGCCAGGGUCAACGUGUAGUUGGUCAGGGUACGCGGGCAAAAAUGGUUAUAAUAGGAGGAGAUGCUCAUGGCAAUGAAGAAGAUCGUUCUGGAAGUCAGUCGCUUCGCCGGAACUCGAAGUGUCCUGCUAAUCGCCAGCCACGACCUGCGCGGAGUGUUGAGCAGGGAGAGGAUGUUGAGGAUGCUGAUCAAUUCCGUGUUGUAAAGCGGACUAGAUGUGCAGCACUUCGAAAGGGAGUUGAGUCAUCUUCUAGGGCAGCAGUUGCUGGAGGAGCUGUCGCAUCUUCCGCAACAGAUGCUGAGGCCAGAGGUGAAGGAGUUGAGGUGGUUGCAGGGGAACUUUUGGAGCGGCCAUCACAAGCGGGCAGGAUAAGGGCAUCACCAGCGCGGUUUGCAAAUUUCAAUGCCUCUCUAACCCCACCACAGAAGUCAGAGCUAGUUUCGAGGUUGUUCGGGAGGUUAUUGAACUUAUCAGACACACUUCCAGCGGACCUCACUAAGUUCCUGGUGCAGUCCUACCAGCCACAGACCUCUGAAAUGGUUUUCCCAGGAAGGGGAAGGAUCUGUGUCGAUGCUGACAGUGUUCAGAGGAUCACUACAUGGCUCAAGAUGAUUGAGGAUAUGGUUGGAAGAACAGAUGAAACAUUCUUUAUGGCCUGGCUUGCGGUUGCCUUUAGCACUUUCCUAGCACCAACCACGGCCUUGAAGCUCAGCCCGAAGUGUUACGGACUUGUGCUAGAUCAUGAAAUGAUCAAGAACACAAACAUCUGCCUCUUUGUAGCAGAACACAUUAAUGAAGCUUUCCGGAACAUGGACCAGGAGAAGCAAACUGUCUGGUGCUGCUUGUAUCACUUGAUGAUACUAUACCUUGAUGAGCUUGUCCACGACAUCCCAGUAAGCAACUGCGCGAUACGAUCGAAUGCAUGGGAUAGUGCUCUAAUUGCCAAGGUGAUCAAGAAGGAUAAGAUCUCUCCUGGUGUGUUCGGCAAAUUACAAGAGUAUAGAGGCAUGGAGCAGACACCACUGUUUGGUGGAAUUUUGCAAGCUGAAGCAUUUGUGGCAUCCAAGUUACCAAUAACCUACAAUCCACAGAAAAAGGGAAAGAUUGCGAAAAUGCAGCCAUCAAUGCAAACCGGGGCGUCACACCGUGCUCCAAAAAGAAAGGGACGAGGGUCAACUAUACAAGAAGAAGAGUUUGUUGAGGAUGAGUCAGAAGAAGAUGAGGAAAUGGAAGCAGCGAUAGAUGUUGACGAUGACGGGGACACAGACGCGGAUGAAUCAGAGGAGGAGGACAAGGAUGAGGAUGACAAUGAAGAAGAUGCAGAGGAGGAGGAGGAGGAAGAGGAGGAGGAGGAGGAGGAGGAGGACACACAAGAAGAGGACAAAGGAGAGGAGGAGGAGGAGGAAGAAGAUAGUGAGGCAGGGGAGGAGGAAGAAGAAGGUGAGGCCGAAGAGGGGGACGGGGACAAAGGCGCAGCAGUUGAUGGCAGUGAGAGGGGAGAAGACAAAGGCGUAACAGUUGAUGGCAGUGAGAGGGAAGAAGACGAUGAUGAAGAAGACGAGGACGGUUAUGGUGAUGAUGUUGGGGGAUCCAAUGGAGGCAGCGACAGCAGCGAUGAUGACGAUGAUGACAGCGCCCCUGGUUCUAGUGGUACAGGCGGCAACACAUCCAGGAGGACUAGCACUUCUGCCACCCUUGCGAGCAGCAACAAUUCAUUGAGUAGCAGGAGCACACUACAGAUGUUAAUCGACAAAACUUGCUGGAAAAACAAGGAUUUGCCGAAGUCAAAGAAAAAUGACGAAGCAGAGUCUCAGAGCAGCAUUGAUAUGUUCAAACUCUGCAACUUGAAGCCAGCUUUGGCAACCACCUUUCCUGUUCUAGAUUUUAGCGACCAAGAUAUGUGUGAGAAGAUCAACUUUGUCAUUGACAAGAGCCUGUUCUUAUCAAGUAUUGCUGAAAAGAAUCAAGUUGACAUGGAGGAAGCAGGAAAAGGUCUUGACAGGGUUCAUUCAAAGGAAAAAUAUAAGGAAUAUUUGAAGCAGCUUCCAGACCUAAGCUCCGGCAAGAGUAAGGCAGAAUCCAUGGCAAACCCUCACGUGGUCCAGAAGCAUAAAGCAGUUUCAAUGAAGAAGAAUCUGCAGUUGCCUCAAACCAAGGAGAAGAUGGUGAGUGCAGAUGCUGAAGUAAAUAUGGUCAUGGAAGUUGUGCUUCAAACUGAUACGCCAACUGUAGUGAGCAGAGAGCCAACCACCAUCACAGGAGUUCAACAGAUCAAGGGGAAGACUCCCCUUUCAACAGUCCCACCAAAACCAUCUAAGCAACAAAAGAUUGUCAAGUUUGCUAGGAGCACAAAGGGGGAACAAGCAACAAAAAGUUUGGGGUUCAGAGACGAGAGAGAACUGCGAGCCGAAGCCAUUGAUGCAGGGGUGCCAAGUUCUGCUAGCUUGCUGCCAACUCAGACUGGAAAGAUGCCAACUACAGAUACCAAUGUGCCAACUGAUGUGUCAUCUAGCAGCGUGAUCAUAGUCAAAACUACCACAGCUGCUCAGGAAGGCACCACUACAACUGCAAGCCCCAAGGUGCCUACUCAUAGAGAUGCUUCAAUGCCAAACACAAAAGAAGGUGAUCCUACUACCAAAUUGCCGUCCCCAAGAGCCAGCACACAUCAUCCAAGCAAGCCUGCAUCACCAAGAGCUUACUUUCAGCAACCACUAACACAAGAGGAGGUGUUCAACAUUAUAAGUAGGUGCAAGCCUCCAAGGCCGCCAACUACAACACUACUGCGAACCAAGUCAGUGAACGAUGCACCUGUGUUUGUGCCGCAAGGAGAUGCCCUGGUCCUUGAACCCAUACGAAGAUCAAAGUCCUAUCAUGGUGACGGGGUCUGCGAUGCACCAUCUUUUGACCUCAGCAUAGAUGGUCAUGCUCCAGCACCUGCUCCAGCAGCAGAAACAGCGGAAGCCGGUGUGAUUCGUAUUGAUGAGUCAUCUCAAAGGUGUCCAUUCAUUGACUACAACAAGAAGAAGACUUUCAGCUCCAAUGAGGCAGUGAACAAGCUUUACGUUGCGCUCUUGUGUUGGGUCAGGCAUCACGAAGGAGCAAAUGAUGAAGCUACCAGGUAUGGUGCUUUCUACAUUUCUUUAAAGGAGUUAGUUGAUUCGAUGAAGCCGGUUCAAUGGCUUUCAAAAAUUGUUAUCGAGUCUAGAAUCUUACACAUCAUGGAUAACUUACGAGAAGGGUCAAAGAAGGUUGUUAUGCCACUGAGGUUUUCUAUGAAUUUACAGCAAGGGAUGCACAACGUGAAUGACAUAAACAAGAAGUUUGAUUGUAAGAACCGUCUCAUGAAGAAAGACUUGCUACAGCCUGUAUCUGUGUCUGAAAUUGUUCACGCUUUACAGGUCAUGCUGCCAGUGCUCGAGUGCGAUGAUGUAACCGAUAAGGAAGGAGGGAGGCACUAUUGGGUCUUCAAUGUCAACUUGAGGGACAGACGCUUCGAAGUUCUUGACUCAAGCAGGACGCUGGACAACAUUGAGCUGAUGAACACCGCCUCUACCAUCGCGGGGGCAGUACGUCAGCUAUGGAGCAAGCAUUACCCAAAGUUCAGCAUCGAGCACUUCCAGAUUAUUGACAUUGACGUACCGAAGCAGCUCGGCAAGUAA
rnacentral:rRNA from 1 species